rnacentral:misc_RNA from 1 species
GCAUCAACGAUAAAGGAAACUUAUCUGGUGGGCUUGGGCUUUGUGGAAGAGAGAAACAGAUAAAAUACUGCUGUUAAAUGUUAGUAAUUCUAAUAUUUUACUUACAUGUUGUGCAUGAAAAUAAUGAAUGGUAUGCUCUAGCAGAUACAAUCCGAACUUUGAUCCUGUUCUUAGGGUCCCAAUUCAAGAAUUGAUCAUUUACAAAGACCUU